rnacentral:lncRNA from 1 species
CGAUACCACUUGUUGAAGAACCGGGAUGACCCAACCUCCACUUUUGAGCAAAUUAGGAUAUCUCAAAUCCCACUUUCAGCGAUCAAAUGAAAUGCCAAGAAUGCAAUAACAAGUGCCAUAUAAAUGAAAAAUAUAAGAACAAUAAAACCAGUAAUAUGGAAAAUCAUCAAAACACAACACAAAUAAGAGUAGAAAGGGGCACGCACAUAUACGUGGUUCACUCAAGAUGGGCUACGUCCACGGGCAAGACGGCAAACGUGUAUUCACUAUCAAGGAAAAAAAUUACAAGAUUUGGGUUAUACGGAGUUACCUCAUACAAUAUAAAAAAAUGCUCAAACAAAGAACUUCCUACCAUAAAACAACCGACAGUCGAUUCCUUUUUUUGAUUCACUAUAAUCGCGAAGAAAUACUGACAAAAAUGGCCCAAGAUGAGCUCAAAUAGUGGUGUUAGGGUUGCACAUUAAAACCCCCAAAUUUUCUCUCUAUUUUUUACCCCAAAACUUCUCAAACUUCUUUCUCAUGUUUUCUUUCCUUUUAUACCCCUUUUAUAAUAUCACAUCCGCAAGUGCCUUUCUCUCGCUCACGCCCGCACGCGCCUCUUCUCUCGCUCGUGCCCGCAUGCGCCUCUUCUCUCGAUCAUGCCUGUGUGCGCCUUUUCUCUUGCGUGCG